rnacentral:misc_RNA from 1 species
UCGAGUUUUUGAAAAAGGUUGUAGCUGGCCUUUCGAGGCAUGUGCACGCCUUGCUCAAUCUCAACCUUUUUAACACCUGUGCACAUUGUGUAGGUUGGUUAGCGAAGAGGAAAUAUAUAUUGUUUCUUCGGAGUGAUUACCUUCCUAUGUCUUAUUAUAAACUCUUGAUGUAUUUGAAUGUAUUUUGCGCUUUAUAACGCACUAUAUAAAUA